GAAAAAAAACAGAGACACACAAAUAGCUUUGAGCUACUCGAUUUAGGUCGUUGCAGUAGUUCGUUAUCACGAAAAUGCUACAAUCAAGAACGUCAUGCGAGGUCCCAAGUGGCGUCCUCCGAGUUUUCAUGGAUGGCAUUUGAAAAUUUAACUUGUCUCUUAUCUACUAAACGAAUAUUGGGUCGCAUCGACUGUAGAAUGACCCAAACAGCGACAGGGUCUGACAGCAGCUUACAAUCCAAUUGUAUCAAGUUGUAGCAACCAAUGGAACAUACAAUCCUUUCAGUUUCAGCCUUACCCAUGAAAUGACGACCGCGGCUAUCCGGUCCGGUAUCCAAUACGAACCAAGACGCUUCUUACGAUUGACAGGACUUUUUAAGACAAUUUCUCGGGUAGUCACUCUGAAACUGGUAACCCAAGUACGCCAUAUAGCACUGAUCGAAAUACGCAUACCGCUUACGCACUUAAAAUCGUAUUCGAUUUCGUCCCACCUUGCUCUGCACCGGCUGUGAAACCCGAUAACAGUCAAAUUUCAGAGGAACGCAAGUGUAUACGAGGAAGAUAACCCGUCAUUACCAUGAAGACCUAUAUAACACAUGUACUAAUCAUCACGUUAUUCUUCGUCCGGUCUUAAGAUAGUAGUAGCAUAAUACUACUUUAGGCUGCUAGUUAUUUAACUAAGCGGUGAUGCAGUUAUAGCCGAGCUCACACAGAAGAAAGUACUUACAGAAUUCCUAGUUGAGUCCAGCCGACGAGACACUUGGCUCGCUAAUGUCUCACGCAACCCAUUUAUAUCGCCCGCUGCCCACAGGGAAAUAGGGGCAUGCGAGAUGUAUGUGCUUAAGGCCAGACAAGACACUGUGUUAACGACCGCCAAAGGCAGUGAGAUUAACAGCGGCAUACGUCAAAAACAGUAUCACUUUUAC